rnacentral:rRNA from 1 species
GAUUAACGCUGGCGGCAUGCCUUACACAUGCAAGUCGAACGGCAGCACGGGUGCUUGCACCUGGUGGCGAGUGGCGAACGGGUGAGUAAUACAUCGGAACGUACCUUAUCGUGGGGGAUAACGCAGCGAAAGCUGUGCUAAUACCGCAUACGCCCUGAGGGGGAAAGCGGGGGAUCGCAAGACCUCGCGCGAUUAGAGCGGCCGAUGCCUGAUUAGCUAGUUGGUGGGGUAAAAGCCCACCAAGGCGACGAUCAGUAGCUGGUCUGAGAGGACGAUCAGCCACACUGGGACUGAGACACGGCCCAGACUCCUACGGGAGGCAGCAGUGGGGAAUUUUGGACAAUGGGGGCAACCCUGAUCCAGCAAUGCCGCGUGAGUGAAGAAGGCCUUCGGGUUGUAAAGCUCUUUCGUCAGGGAAGAAACAGCAGCUCUAACACAGUUUGCGAAUGACGGUACCUGAAGAAUAAGCACCGGCUAACUACGUGCCAGCCGCCGCCGUAA